UUAUAUAUAUUUAUACCUAACCCAAUUGUUUGACUGCUUCAGGGCUCUAACAUCAACCCUAAACACCCACUGCCGCAUGCAUUCCUAGCUAGAGACGGACACUCUUACAAAGUCUUUGAAAUAUUCAGGGCACAGGAUCUUUUAUUCUUGAAGGUGAUUCAGCUUUUCUGUGCUGAUAAGGAGUAUGGAAGCCUCGUCAUCCAUGAAUCUCUUUACAGAUCUCUUGAAGAACCAUGGAUAUGUGUAUCAAGCUUUCCUCCAUGAAUUCGACCUGUACAAAAGAGGGCACAAGAGCAAACAUGACCUCUUCUGUGACAUGGUUGUUCUUGUUCAUCAAAACAAGGAUUUGCUUACAGAACUCCGAAAAGUACUCGUAGAGUCAACCUCAAAUCCUAUGCCAGAAGACAUGAACGUUGAUGCUGCUACUGCUUAGAAUUAUGAUUAGCAUAGGACACGAAUGUUUAACCUUUUCUUUUCCCAUCUCUUUUAUUGUCCUAAUUAAUAAUGUCCGUUGCCUCCUGUUUGCUCCUCAAAUUAUCUUAUUUAGGAUAUAUCUUUGAGGUGUUAAUCUUUCUCAAUUUCUUGUAUGGAGAUUUCAAGCUGUUGAUCAGUACAAUUUUAAGACCGCCCUUGUUUAAUUUUUUGCUUCAAUUAAUCUCUAUCUUGUAAAGGACUAAUUAAGGAGAGGUCACGAGUAAUUCAGAAAAUUAACUUGAAAUUAGCGUAAUGUAUUUUCGGAUUGAACUUUAAACUCAGCCCGAUUUUAAGAUA
rnacentral:lncRNA from 1 species